UUUCCGUAGGUGAACCUGCGGAAGGAUCAUUGUCGAAACCUGCCCAGCAGAACGACCCGCGAACUUGUAUAAACAACCGGGGGCGGGGGGCGUUCUCGCCCCGUGCCCCCGAACGGCGGGGAGACACUCGUGCCUUCUUGCCGAACAACGAACCCCGGCGCGGUCUGCGCCAAGGAACUUCAACUAAAGAGUGCCUCCGGUCGCCUCGGAAACGGCGUGCGUGCCGGGAGCGAAGCUUGUGCAAAACCAUAACGACUCUCGGCAACGGAUAUCUCGGCUCUC
rnacentral:misc_RNA from 1 species